rnacentral:hammerhead_ribozyme from 1 species
AUUCAGCUGACGAUUCCUAAAUAAAACGAAGCGCACGUCUUGAAU